GACGAACGCUGGCGGCAUGCCUAAUACAUGCAAGUCGAACGAGACCUUCGGGUCUAGUGGCGCACGGGUGCGUAACGCGUGGGAAUCUGCCCUUGGGUUCGGAAUAACAGUUAGAAAUGACUGCUAAUACCGGAUGAUGACGUAAGUCCAAAGAUUUAUCGCCCAAGGAUGAGCCCGCGUAGGAUUAGCUUGUUGGUGAGGUAAAGGCUCACCAAGGCUACGAUCCUUAGCUGGUCUGAGAGGAUGAUCAGCCACACUGGGACUGAGACACGGCCCAGACUCCUACGGGAGGCAGCAGUAGGGAAUAUUGGACAAUGGGCGAAAGCCUGAUCCAGCAAUGCCGCGUGAGCGAUGAAGGCCUUAGGGUUGUAAAGCUCUUUUACCCGGGAUGAUAAUGACAGUACCGGGAGAAUAAGCCCCGGCUAACUCCGUGCCAGCAGCCGCGGUAACAC
rnacentral:rRNA from 1 species